rnacentral:rRNA from 1 species
GACGAACGCUGGCGGCGUGCUUAACACAUGCAAGUCGAACGAAGUGGCGAACGGGUGAGUAAUACGUGGGUAACCUGCCCUCCUUUUUGGGAUAAGCCUUGGAAACGGGGUCUAAUACCGAAUAAAGGGGGAUGGGCUCGCGGCCUAUCAGCUUGUUGGUGGGGUGAUGGCCUACCAAGGCGGUGACGGGUAGCCGGCCUGAGAGGGUGACCGGCCACAUUGUGACGUAGAUACGGCCCAGACUCCUACGGGAGGCAGCAGUGUGGGUUAUUGCACAAUGGGCGAAAGCCUGAUGCAGCGACGCCGCGUGGGGGAUGAAGGCUUUCGGGUUGUAAACCUCUUUCGCUAUCGAAACGGUAUCUAACCAGAAAGCCACGGCUAACUACGUGCCAGCAGCCGCGGUAAUUC